rnacentral:rRNA from 1 species
CUUUCAAGUCCGAUGCUAAAGACUGGGGCUCAACCCCAGGGGUGCGUUGGAUACUGUGAGGCUAGACGGUCGGAGGGGGUAGCGGAAUUUCCGGAGUAGCGGUGAAAUGCGCAGAUACCGGAAGGAACGCCAAUAGCGAAGGCAGCUACCUGGACGACUUGUGACGCUGAGGCGCGAAAGCGUGGGGAGCAAACCGGAUUAGAUACCCGGGUAGUCCACGCCCUAAACCAUGAGUGCUGGGUGUCCGGCUUCUGCUGGGUGCCGUAGCUAACGCGCUAAGCACUCCGCCUGGGAAGUACGCACGCAAGUGUGAAACUCAAAGGAAUUGACGGGGGCCCGCACAAGCGGUGGAGCAUGUGGUUUAAUUCGAAGCGACGCGAAGAACCUUACCAGGCCUUGACAUGCCCGGAACCCCUCUGAAAGGAGGGGGUGCCCGCAAGGGAGCCGGGACACAGGUGCUGCAUGGCCGUCGUCAGCUCGUGUCGUGAGAUGUUGGGUUAAGUCCCGCAACGAGCGCAACCCCUAUCCCUAGUUGCCAGCAGUUCGGCUGGGCACUCUAUGGAGACUGCCUGCGAAAGCAGGAGGAAGGCGGGGAUGACGUCUGGUCCGCAUGGCCCUUACGGCCUGGGCGACACACGUGCUACAAUGCCAAGGACAGAGCGCUGCUACCUCGCGAGAGGACGCCAAUCGCAAAAACCUUGGCUCAGUUCGGAUUGGAGUCUGCAACUCGACUCCAUGAAGCCGGAAUCGCUAGUAAUCGCGAAUCAGCCAUG